GAAUGCUGACAUAAGUAACGAUAAAGCGGGUGAAAAGCCCGCUCGCCGGAAGACCAAGGGUUCCUGUCCAACGUUAAUCGGGGCAGGGUGAGUCGACCCCUAAGGCGAGGCCGAAAGGCGUAGUCGAUGGGAAACGGGUUAAUAUUCCCGUACUUGGUGUUACUGCGAAGGGGGGACGGAGAAGGCUAUGUUGGCCGGGCGACGGUUGUCCCGGUUUAAGCGUGUAGGUGUGUGUUCCAGGUAAAUCCGGUUCACUUUAACACUGAGGCGUGACGACGAGGCACUACGGUGCUGAAGCAACAAAUGCCCUGCUUCCAGGAAAAGCCUCUAAGCAUCAGGUAACACGAAAUCGUACCCCAAACCGACACAGGUGGUCAGGUAGAGAAUACCAAGGCGCUUGAGAGAACUCGGGUGAAGGAACUAGGCAAAAUGGUGCCGUAACUUCGGGAGAAGGCACGCUGACACGUAGGUGAAGUGAUUUACUCAUGGAGCUGAAGUCAGUCGAAGAUACCAGCUGGCUGCAACUGUUUAUUAAAAACACAGCACUGUGCAAACACGAAAGUGGACGUAUACGGUGUGACGCCUGCCCGGUGCCGGAAGGUUAAUUGAUGGGGUCAGCGUAAGCGAAGCUCCUGAUCGAAGCCCCGGUAAACGGCGGCCGUAACUAUAACGGUCCUAAGGUAGCGAAAUUCCUUGUCGGGUAAGUUCCGACCUGCACGAAUGGCGUAAUGAUGGCCAGGCUGUCUCCACCCGAGACUCAGUGAAAUUGAACUCGCUGUGAAGAUGCAGUGUACCCGCGGCAAGACGGAAAGACCCCGUGAACCUUUACUAUAGCUUGACACUGAACAUUGAGCCUUGAUGUGUAGGAUAGGUGGGAGGCUUUGAAGUGUGGACGCCAGUCUGCAUGGAGCCGACCUUGAAAUACCACCCUUUAAUGUUUGAUGUUCUAACGUGGACCCGUAAUCCGGGUUGCGGACAGUGUCUGGUGGGUAGUUUGACUGGGGCGGUCUCCUCCUAAAGAGUAACGGAGGAGCACGAAGGUUGGCUAAUCCUGGUCGGACAUCAGGAGGUUAGUGCAAUGGCAUAAGCCAGCUUGACUGCGAGCGUGACGGCGCGAGCAGGUGCGAAAGCAGGUCAUAGUGAUCCGGUGGUUCUGAAUGGAAGGGCCAUCGCUCAACGGAUAAAAGGUACUCCGGGGAUAACAGGCUGAUACCGCCCAAGAGUUCAUAUCGACGGCGGUGUUUGGCACCUCGAUGUCGGCUCAUCACAUCCUGGGGCUGAAGUAGGUCCCAAGGGUAUGGCUGUUCGCCAUUUAAAGUGGUACGCGAGCUGGGUUUAGAACGUCGUGAGACAGUUCGGUCCCUAUCUGCCGUGGGCGCUGGAGAACUGAGGGGGGCUGCUCCUAGUACGAGAGGACCGGAGUGGACGCAUCACUGGUGUUCGGGUUGUCAUGCCAAUGGCACUGCCCGGUAGCUAAAUGCGGAAGAGAUAAGUGCUGAAAGCAUCUAAGCACGAAACUUGCCCCGAGAUGAGUUCUCCCUGAGACUUAGAGUCUCCUGAAGGAACGUUGAAGACGACGACGUUGAUAGGCCGGGUGUGUAAGCGCAGCGAUGCGUUGAGCUAACCGGUACUAAUGAACCGUGAGGCUUAACCUUACAACGCCGAAG
rnacentral:rRNA from 1 species